CAAGGUGUAGCUUAACUAAAGCACCCGGCUUACACCCGGAAGACUUCACAUCUCCAUGAACAUCUUGA
rnacentral:tRNA from 1 species